GACGAACGCUGGCGGCGUGCUUAACACAUGCAAGUCGAACGGAAAGGCCCUGCUUUUUUGGGGUGCUCGAGUGGCGAACGGGUGAGUAACACGUGAGUAACCUGCCCUUGACUUUGGGAUAACUUCAGGAAACUGGGGCUAAUACCAUAUAGGAUCUCCUGCUGCGUUGUGGGGGUUGGAAAGUUUCGGCCGUUGGGGAUGGACUCGCGGCUUAUCAGCUUGUUGGUUGGGUAGUGGCUUACCAAGGCUUUGACGGGUAGCCGGCAUGAGAGGGUGACCGGCCACCUUGGGACUGAGAGACGGACCAGACUCCUACGGGAGGCAGCAGUGGGGAACAUUGCACAAUGGGAGGAAGCCUGAUGCAGAAACGCCGCGUGCGGGAUGCCGGCCUUCGGGUUGUAAAACGCUUUAGCCUGUGACGACGCGUGAGUGACGGUAAUGGGUAAAGAAGCACCGGCUAACUACGUG
rnacentral:rRNA from 1 species